rnacentral:rRNA from 2 species
UACGGAGGAUGCAAGCGUUAUCCGGAUUUAUUGGGUUUAAAGGGAGCGCAGACGGGUCGUUAAGUCAGCUGUGAAAGUUUGGGGCUCAACCUUAAAAUUGCAGUUGAUACUGGCGUCCUUGAGUGCGGUUGAGGUGUGCGGAAUUCGUGGUGUAGCGGUGAAAUGCUUAGAUAUCACGAAGAACUCCGAUUGCGAAGGCAGCACACUAAGCCGUAACUGACGUUCAUGCUCGAAAGUGUGGGUAUCAAACAGG